rnacentral:sRNA from 1 species
UUGCAUUUUUAGUAGAGACGGGGUUUCACCAUGUUGGUCAGGCUGGUCUUGAACUCCUGAUCUCGUGAUCUGCCUGCCUCGGCCUCCCAAAGUGCUGGGAUUACAGGCAUGAGCCACCGCGCCCGGCCCCCACAUUGAUUUUUUAAGUGAGAGUAGAUUCGUAAGUUAGCAAGCAGCCUGAGUAAUAGAGGUGUUCAGAAAAACAUUUCAAUUUCCUAUUCCAAAGCUGCAAUAUACAAGCUAUUAAAUUUCUAAUAUUACCCUUGUUGGAGAGUGUCUUAUAAUAUAGUAGCCUCUAUUUCUGAUUCUCCAAAGGAAUGGCUCUAAAUAAAUGUUCAUAUCUUUGUAUAGAUAUUGAUUUCUGUAUUAUCUAUCUGCAGGGUGUUCCUGAAAAUGAAAGGAGAACUACCAAAGCAGAGAGUGCUUGGCUUUUCCGGAUGUGGUACAACUUUGAUCAUAACUAUCUGAAGCCUCUGCUGACCCACAGCGGGCCUCCGCUGACAACAACACUCCCUGCCUGCUGUGGACCCAUCGCCAGGUGCCUCACCAGCCCCCAGGCUUACGAAAACCAGGAACAGUUGAAAG